rnacentral:rRNA from 1 species
CGGCACCUCAAGUGGUCAGGAUGAUUAUUGGGCCUAAAGCAUCCGUAGCCGGCUCUGUAAGUCUUCGGUUAAAUCUGUAUGCUCAACAUACAGGCUGCCGGGAAUACUGCAGAGCUAGGGAGUGGGAGAGGUAGACGGUACUCGGUAGGAAGGGGUAAAAUCCUUUGAUCUAUUGAUGACCACCUGUGGCGAAGGCGGUCUACCAGAACACGUCCGACGGUGAGGGAUGAAAGCUGGGGGAGCAAACCGGAUUAGAUACCCGAGUAGUCC